GACGAACGCUGGCCGGCGCUGCUAACUAGCAGUGCCAAUGUCGAUACGACCAGUUGAUAAAUGAGUGCUUGCACUCGACCUUCAAACUGGGCAGUGGCGAACGGGUGAGUAAGCACAGUGGGUAACCGUGCCCUGAAGUGGGGGAUUAACAUUCGGAAACAGGUGCUAAGUACCGCAUAAUACCUAUCCGACCACUAUGGUCGGUGUUUGAAAGGCGGCUUCGGCUGUCACUUCGGGAUGGACCCGCGGCGUAUUAGCUAGCUUGGUAAGUGUAACGGCUUACCAAGGCGACGAUACGUAGCCGACCUGAGAGUGGUAAUCUGGCCACAUUGGGACUGAGACACUGGCCCAAACUCCUACGGGAGGCAGCAGUAGGGAAUCUUCCACAAUGGACGAAAGUCUGAUGGAGCAACGCCGCGUGAGUGAAGAAGGUUUUCGGAUCGUAAAACUCUGUUGUUAGAGAAGAACGUGGGUGAGAGUAACUGUUCACCCAGUGACGGUAUCUAACCAGAAAGCCACGGGCUAACUACGUGCCAGCAGCCGCGGUAAUACGUA
rnacentral:rRNA from 1 species